UGUUUCGGCUAGGGGGCCAUCCCGGCUUACCAACCCGAUGCAAACUGCGAAUACCGGAGAAUGUUAUCACGGGAGACACACGGCGGGUGCUAACGUCCGUCGUGAAGAGGGAAACAACCCAGACCGCCAGCUAAGGUCCCAAAGUCAUGGUUAAGUGGGAAACGAUGUGGGAAGGCCCAGACAGCCAGGAUGUUGGCUUAGAAGCAGCCAUCAUUUAAAGAAAGCGUAAUAGCUCACUGGUCGAGUCGGCCUGCGCGGAAGAUGUAACGGGGCUAAACCAUGCACCGAAGCUGCGGCAGCGACGCUUAUGCGUUGUUGGGUAGGGGAGCGUUCUGUAAGCCUG
rnacentral:rRNA from 3 species